AACAGACCCUCAUCAGCAUCCUCACACCGCGUCUGCGAUGUGGAGUUUUUCAGAGGAGAGAGAGAAGAUGGACUAACGCGUACACACCCCUCCAUGCGCAUACACAUCCGCUCCACGCACUAUGACGGGUAGGCCUCGUUGGCUUCUGGUCCCACACGUCGGUGUGUGGGUCGUUACCUUUCUAGCUUCGAUGUUAGAUACUGGAGAGAGGGGAGAUGGCAUGGGCGUCUUCUCCCCUUCUUCCGCACCUUUCUGCGCGCACGAGAAAGGAUGAACCCAUCCUGAGCCGGAGUACUCCGAGCAGUGCGCCCCUUCCCCCGUUCUCCUCCACCAUGCCUGGGCUCCGCCUCCUUCGCCCGCAUCCUCCUCCUCCCCUCUCUCUCUCUUCUGCACCAUCAUCCUCCUCCCUCGUUGCUGGACCCGGCCCUGCUUCGCCUCCUCCGCCAGCCUCUUCCUCCUUGUCGUCGAUGGUAGCGGUGUGAACGGGGGCAGCGACCGUGAUUAGAUGUGAUGAGUUGACCAAGCUGGUUCCACGCUGAGGAACGGACCCCCUCGACGCCAUCCUCUGUGGCACUACUCUGCUCCCUCCGUUCGUCAGUUAAUCUGGUUCCUUGCCUGCUCCCCUUUCUAUUGGGCACUCUAUUCCUCGUGGUAUUUAGCCUUUCUACCUUUGUUCAUGUGCAGGUUUGUGAUCUCUUCCGCAUUCCCCUUUCCAGGAGUUCUUGCCUUCAACGCUGAGGUGAAACGGCUCUUCCCAUACUUGUCUCUAAGCAAUUUGAUGAAACGCUUGUGUCGAAACAUACUUUUUCUUCAGUUUUGCUUCCUGCUGUUGGGUGUUACUCCUCUCGUUGAUCUUUCCAGCUUUUCUCGUCGUUCUGGCAUUUGAAGCUCAUGUGAAUGGCCUCUCGACUAAAGAAGGCGGUUAUUUCUAUGCCUAAGUUCUUUUGUCGGUAGAAGAAUCUGUAGGGAAGAAAGAAAAAAAAUACGUAUGUGAAUGCCAAGUUUGGAUUUGCAAGAAAGAACUUUAUGUGAAUGCCAAGUUUGUAUUUGCAGCGAGCAAAUGGAAGAUGGCAAUGCAUACUGUAGAAACCAUAUACGUCAGCUUGCUUUUAGAUUUUGAAUUACUUCGUAGUUAUUGAAUAACCAAGCAGUAAAACAUGCAAGAAAAUCUUCUAUUUGUUUUGAUCAUGCAGCCCUACUGCUCCUGAGCCCAAAUCCCAUGACCAUGCCCCACCUCUCCUUGAAGGAGUCUGGUUGCUAAAAAGUGAGUUUUCUUAAUCAGUAUGUAUGGCCUCUCCGCACAUGCCCUCUCUUCGUAUUUAAGAGGCCCUCAAGCUUUGUCAGUUUUCUUAAAGACAUGGAAUUUUAAUUUUGAUAGUCCCAACAACAGUUAUACAGAUGGAGCUAUCUGUUAUUUAUUGUCAAUCUGACAUACUUUUGUUACCUUCUAGCAUGUUUUAAGCUCUAUGAAUGAAUGAAUGAUGUGUGCCAUGUUUUUCUUCCUCAUUUUCAUGCAGAAGUAUUUGAUAUAUCCUGGGUAUGGAUGAUUGAUUUAUUUGCAGAAUGUCACAGAAAUUGUGAAUCUCGGUUUAGAAGAAUCAACACGAAUGCUGAAACAUUGAUUUUUUUGAAGGUAUUUUUUCCUGUUCCCAAGCAUUUUCCUCAUGUUUGCUUCUAAAACGUUGCUUAGCAAGCAUUAUAUGAUUCAUGGAAUUAACUUAGCAAGGAUAAUGUAUCAGUUUAACUUUUGUAAAGAAGCAGACGAGCAGUGCAGUGACCCUACAUUAAAAUUAUGAGAUAUGUCAUAAUUCCGACAACUGUUUCAUAUAGGAAAUAUAAGAUACGCAUAGAGAAGAGCUCAAACUGGACAUUCUUUUCUUUUAGUUUUUAGAAUCCUUGGCAGAGGGUGUUAUAUAUUUCCAUAAAAAAAUCAGCGACAGAGAUUUAAAUGUAGUAACAUGUGUUUAUGCUUUAAAGUCCGGUGUCGAACAGUACCCAUGAUAAAGCUACACGGUUGGAUGCUAUUGAUCACGUAAGGUGAGCUUAUAUGACUUGGUUUAACCUUUUUAGAUUAUGUUACCGAAUAUUAGGAGAACUUUUUGAUAUGUGUGUUUGUAGAAUUUGCUGAUGUUUGUUGCAAAAUAUUGGUGGCUAGGCACUAUGCUCCACAUACGCAAAGUUUUCAGUUUCUAUUUUCAUCAUUGCACCAGCCUUUUCUGUACCAACAAUGUGACGCUGCACUACUAUAGAUUUUCACAAGCCAUGGAAAAAUAAAUAAUUUGACAAUCGAUAGCCUCCAGUCUACAAUUGUAAUUUUGUGCGCACUUUGGAGCUAUUGGAUGCCUGAAUGUAUCGCGUUCCUUUGGUGAUCGUUGUGUUGUGUUCAAAAUUGUAGCUUGAGAGGAGGAAAAUAAUUAAAUAGCAGGUUGUACAGAGUUGCUACCAUACCAUUUCUUUGUGACUGCAUGGUCUCACCGUCAAUUUUCUAAAAGUAUAUUAGCAUCUUGUUCUUGGAAGAACAGAUUUUCGUUAUGUACAGGAGGUCUAACCAGGCAUGUAGUUUUUUUAGUCCUUUGUUCCUUUGCUUGAUUUGGCGCGUGGCGUGGGCAUCUGUUUCAAGUUGGGCGGCAUACAAUCCAUGCAAGGGUACUUAGUUGCUGUAUGUAUGGCAGCUGCAGCAUCUUGCCAAUUAGUCCCCACUAAAAUUAAUUUAUCUCUCCACCUUUUUGGCUCAUGAAUAUCGAUGCGAGUACUGUAGGUACCUAAAUGCUAGAGAUUACCACCCUUGAGUAGGUUUCUCUAAACAGACAAUAUAUGGUGGUUAUUUCUGCUACUGUAGGUUUUUCCAUGGUUCUAAUUGUGUAUAUGGCAUAUUGGCGUUCUCAGAGUUGUGGUUCUAGAUUUGCUCGGUGCUCUAUAGAUCUAUUAUUUGAAGAACUAAUGAUAUACACUGAGUUACCUCGCACCAUCAUUUAUCCUUUCAACUGCUUGAUUUGGAUUUUUUUUAAUGUUAUCAAAUAGUGUCCCUGUGUCUUAACAAGCCACCCAUUUGUCGUCUGUAUGUGUUGUCAUUCGCAAAGUUGUUGUCUGAUGAAGACAGUUUGUUGGUCAAGGUCACCCAAAUUGAGUAUGGUCUCUUUUAUGUCAUUGCUCUGCCAGAGUGCAAUUUUCAUUGCAUGGCAUACACCAGUUACCGAUAGUUGAUAUGUUUGUUGAAGUUCCAUUACAAGUUAAAUAAAUGUGUAGUGUGAUAUACUGAUUCUUAUAGUUUGAUAAUGUUAUGCGUGGAUGGCCUUAGAUAUGUAAAUAAAAACACCUUUAAGAAAACUAAGCAUUCAAUUAUUGUUCUGUUGUGUUAUUGAUUUCACCGGUUUUAUGUCAACCGAUUAGUUCUGAAGGAUUCCACAUCGGGUAAUUUAGAUUAUGUUACUAGAGUAUUAGAAGAACUUCCUGAUAUAUGUAUUUAGAGCAUUUGCUAAGAUUUGAUGCAAAAUAUUGAUGGUCAUGCAUUAUACUGCGCAUAAAUACAAUUUUUCAGUUUUUAUUUUUGUUGUUGCAGCAGUUUUUGUAUAGCGAUAGCCAAUAGUGUGACAUCACACUACUCCAUUUUCACAGGCCAUGCCACAUCUUUACAUGAUAAGCUGACACCUAAUAAGGAUCAUGAGAACAACAAAGAUGCUAAGAGGCAACAUUUUGGGGUUAAGGAUAUUAACAACAACAGGGCUUAUGAGGCCGAAGAGAGCUAGAGUGGUGUCUUUUGGUUCUUGAAGCCUUGCCCUUUCCUGGUGGAGUAGAAGCAAAAUAAUUCAGAGGCUUUAAGGCCCUGUUUGAUAGUAAAAUAUUUUCUAUGUAUUUCGAGAAUACUUCAGUUUUUCAGACUACCACAAUUUUAUUUACAAUGAGCUGUUUGGUUGCCCUAAAAA